UGGGCCUUUCAAGGGUGGGAGCGCCUGG
rnacentral:sRNA from 1 species